rnacentral:rRNA from 1 species
AUUGAACGCUGGCGGCAGGCCUAACACAUGCAAGUCGAACGGAGUGGCGGACGGGUGAGUAAUGUCUGGGAAACUGCCCGAUGGAGGGGGAUAACUACUGGAAACGGUAGCUAAUACCGCAUACUAUCAUAUGAGCCUAGGUCGGAUUAGCUAGUUGGUGGGGUAAAGGCCUACCACGUCGACGAUCCGUAACUGGUCUGAGAGGAUGAUCCGUAACACGGGAACUGAAAAACGGUCCAGACUCCUACGGGAGGCAGCAGUGGGGAAUAUUGGACAAUGGGCGAAAGCCUGAUCCAGCCAUGCCUCGUGUGUGAAGAAGGUCUUCGGAUUGUAAAGCACUUUAAGUUGGGAGGCGUUACCAACAGAAUAAGCACCGGCUAACUUCGUGCCAGCCGCCGCGUAAUUC